rnacentral:lncRNA from 1 species
CAGAGGAGAAAGUGCCAAGAAGCUGUAAUUUUCCAAAGGCUUGCUGGUUUCCCAUUGAGGAAGACACACCGUAAGAAUAACAUGGUCAAUUCCCCGGGGAGUUUCUAUCCUAAUCUGCUGGAAGCACUCAAUCAGACUAAUUUUACAAGGUGUCUGGCAAGCCGGAGAGAAGCUCAACUUGGCAGUGUUGGGAGAGCGAUAUAUCUGGGUCUCAAUUCUCCAGCACACAUUUGCUUCUCUCCCAGGAGCUCGAGAGUCUAUUUCUUGCUUUCCUUAGAGGCUCCUUUUGUGAACAGCUCCAGAGCUCUGGCUCAUCUGCUACCAAAGACUCGCUAAAAACCCAU